rnacentral:rRNA from 1 species
UACGGGGGGAGCAAGCGUUGUUCGGAUUUACUGGGCGUAAAGGGCGCGUAGGCGGCGCGACAAGUCACUUGUGAAAUCUCCGGGCUUAACUCGGAGCGGCCAAGUGAUACUGUCGUGCUAGAGUGCGGAAGGGGCAACUGGAAUUCUCGGUGUAGCGGUGAAAUGCGUAGAUAUCGAGAGGAACACCUGCGGCGAAGGCGGGUUGCUGGGCCGACACUGACGCUGAGGCGCGAAAGCGUGGGGAGCAAACGGG